CCUACGGGAGGCAGCAGUGGGGAAUAUUGCACAAUGGGGGAAACCCUGAUGCAGCGACGCCGCGUGAGUGAAGAAGUCUUUCGGUACGUAAAGCUCUAUCAGCAGGGAAGAAAAUGACGGUACCUGACUAAGAAUCCCCGGCUAACUACGUGCCAGCAGCCGCGGUAAUACGUAGGGGGCAAGCGUUAUCCGGAUUUACUGGGUGUAAAGGGAGCGUAGACGGCAGCGCAAGUCUGGAGUGAAAGCCCAUGGCUUAACCAUGGAACUACAUUGGAAACUGUGAAGCUAGAGUGCAGGAGAGGUAAGCGGAAUUCCUAGUGUAGCGGUGAAAUGCGUAGAUAUUAGGAGGAACACCAGUGGCGAAGGCGGCUUACUGGACUGUAACUGACGUUGAGGCUCGAAAGCGUGGGGAGCAAACAGGAUUAGAUACCCCUGUAGUC
rnacentral:rRNA from 1 species